CCUGCCCUCCGCUACCUACCGCGGCUCCUCCAGCUCCCAGGGCCGCGGCCGGAGCAGCUCUGAGCGCUCCGUUCACCCCACGGUGCCCUUAAAAGGCGCUAGCACGAACCAACGGGCCCUUGAGGAGAGUGGGGGGAUCGCUCCUGUUCGCAGCCUCUCCCGGUACCGCCCGAAGAGGCCCGAGCCCUAAAGUGGACGGGCCCAGUUGGAAGCAUAUCCUGAAGCCCGUAGGGGAAGCCAUGUCGGAUAAAGGAACUGGAAACCACCUUUUUAUUAAGUCUCUACCACCACCAUCUCCCACCUCAUCCAAAGUUUUAAGUCAUCUUUCAAGAACUGAAUGUUGAUAUAGGUGGUGGUGGUGGGACAAACCAC